rnacentral:rRNA from 1 species
GACGUAGGGGGCCAGCGUUGUUCGGAAUUACUGGGUGUAAAGGGUUCGUAGGCGGUGCGGCAAGUCGGGAGUGAAAUCUCUGGGCUUAACCCAGAGGCUGCUUCCGAAACUGCUGUGCUUGAGUGUGGGAGAGGCGCGUGGAAUUGCAGGUGUAGCGGUGAAAUGCGUAGAUAUCUGGAGGAACACCGGUGGCGAAGGCGACAUCCUGGACCGGUAUUGACGCUGAGGCGCGAAAGCCAGGGGAGCAAACGGG